UACGAAGGGGGCUAGCGUUGCUCGGAAUCACUGGGCGUAAAGCGCACGUAGGCGGCUUUCUAAGUCAGGGGUGAAAUCCUGGAGCUCAACUCCAGAACUGCCUUUGAUACUGGAGAGCUUGAGUCCGGAAGAGGUGAGUGGAACUCCGAGUGUAGAGGUGAAAUUCGUAGAUAUUCGGAAGAACACCAGUGGCGAAGGCGGCUCGGCUGGACAUGUAUUGACGCUGAGGUGCGAAAGCGUGGGGAGCAAACAGGG
rnacentral:rRNA from 1 species